GGAACUGUAACCCCCCCAGCUUGUUAAGUUAGUUCAGUAGUUAAAUUGUAUUUCCAGGAACUGGCCAGAUGAUUCUAAGUUACGAGAUACUUUAAUACCYUUUUGGACCUAAUCUUCAACAUCAAAUAAGAUAGUCAAGUGUAAAGUUUUGAUGCCUCGCAAGCCCAUUUGAUUUGGUAAUCAGAACAUAGAAAUAAAACUUACUCUAAGAAACUAAAAACUAACUAAAACCAUAACUGAAAAAAACCCUCUUCUUGCAGCCACUGUAGACUCAAUUAGGCAAACAUGACUCAACAGGAUCAAUUGGUCUCCCCUUCCGUGUAAUUCCUAGAAGAGAAGCUGUAGCAGUCACCAGUUGCAGAACUCUGGAGAUCAUCCAGCUGGUCAUCACAGCUCCGGAAAGAAGCCAGAAUGAAGUCACAAUUUAUGACACCGUCUGUGUAACCUAUGGAUACUGCCUGUGGC
rnacentral:lncRNA from 1 species